CCUACGGGUGGCAGCAGUGAGGAAUAUUGGUCAAUGGACGGAAGUCUGAACCAGCCAUGCCGCGUGCAGGAUGACGGCUCUAUGAGUUGUAAACUGCUUUUGUAUUAGGGUAAACACCCCUACGUGUAGGGGCUUGAAAGUAUAAUACGAAUAAGGAUCGGCUAACUCCGUGCCAGCAGCCGCGGUAAUACGGAGGAUCCAAGCGGUAUCCGGAUUUAUUGGGUUUAAAGGGUGCGUCGGCUGUGAGGUCAGUCAGCGGUGGAAUGCCCCCGCUCAACGGGGUGAAGUGCCAUUGUUACUGCCUUGCUGGAGUGCGGAUGAGGUGGGAGGAAUGUGUGGUGUAGCGGUGAAAUGCAUAGAUAUCACGCAGAACACCGAUUGCGAAGGCAUCUCACGAAUCCGCGAUUGACGCUGAUGUACGAAAGCGUGGGUAUCAAACAGGAUUAGAUACCCGAGUAGUC
rnacentral:rRNA from 1 species